CGGACCAAGUAGAAGCAACCCGCUUCUCACCUGUAGCGACGCAUCAAGCAGUUGGCAGGUUAACGAUAUAAACAUGUGAGUUUGUUCAUGUUAACGUUAGAAGCGGGGAGUACAUCCCCGCUUUUUUUCGUGCUU
rfam:Staphylococcus microti strain DSM 22147 contig_179, whole genome shotgun sequence.